UGCCCUGCACUCUGGGACAAGCCCUGGAAACGGGGUCUAAUACCGGAUACUGAGCCGCUUGGGCAUCCAAGUGGUUCGAAAGCUCCGGCGGUGCAGGAUGAGCCCGCGGCCUAUCAGCUUGUUGGUGAGGUAAUGGCUCACCAAGGCGACGACGGGUAGCCGGCCUGAGAGGGCGACCGGCCACACUGGGACUGAGACACGGCCCAGACUCCUACGGGAGGCAGCAGUGGGGAAUAUUGCACAAUGGGCGAAAGCCUGAUGCAGCGACGCCGCGUGAGGGAUGACGGCCUUCGGGUUGUAAACCUCUUUCAGCAGGGAAGAAGCGAAAGUGACGGUACCUGCAGAAGAAGCGCCGGCUAACUACGUGCCAGCAGCCGCGGUAAUACGUAGGGCGCAAGCGUUGUCCGGAAUUAUUGGGCGUAAAGAGCUCGUAGGCGGCUUGUCACGUCGGUUGUGAAAGCCCGGGGCUUAACCCCGGGUCUGCAGUCGAUACGGGCAGGCUAGAGUUCGGUAGGGGAGAUCGGAAUUCCUGGUG
rnacentral:rRNA from 1 species